GACGAACGCUGGCGGCGUGCUUAACACAUGCAAGUCGAACGGAAAGGCCCUGCUUUUGUGGGGUGCUCGAGUGGCGAACGGGUGAGUAACACGUGAGUAACCUGCCCUUGACUUUGGGAUAACUUCAGGAAACUGGGGCUAAUACCGGAUAGGAGCUCCUGCUGCAUGGUGGGGGUUGGAAAGUUUCGGCUGUUGGGGAUGGACUCGCGGCUUAUCAGCUUGUUGGUGGGGUAGUGGCUUACCAAGGCUUUGACGGGUAGCCGGCCUGAGAGGGUGACCGGCCACAUGGGGACUGAGAUACGGCCCAGACUGCUACGGGAGGCAGCAGUGGGGAAUAUUGCACAAUGGGCGGAAGCCUGAUGCAGCAACGCCGCGUGCGGGAUGACGGCCUUCGGGUUGUAAACCGAUUUCGCCUGUGACGAAGCGUGAGUGACGGUAAUGGGUAAAGAAGCACCGGCUAACUACGUG
rnacentral:rRNA from 1 species